UACAGAGGGUGCGAGCGUUUAAUCGGAAUUACUGGGCGUAAAGCGUGCGUAGACGGUUAUUUAAGUCGGGUGUGAAAGCCCCGGGCUCAACCUGGGAAUUGCAUUCGAGACUGAAUAGCUAGGGUACGGUAGAGGGAAGCGGAAUUUCCGGUGUAGCGGUGAAAUGCGUAGAUAUCGGAAGGAACAUCAGUGGCGAAAGCGGCUUCCUGGACCAGUACCGACGUCAGGCACGAAAGCGUUGGGGAGCAAACAGGA
rnacentral:rRNA from 1 species